rnacentral:lncRNA from 1 species
GUUUUGAAUACUUUAUUUUUCAACACAGAGGGAAAAAAAAAUAAAUGUUGUCACACCUAAAACCCCUGUCCAUCCAUCCACUCUGUGUGUGUGUAUGUGUGUGUGUGUGUGUGUGUGUGUGUGUGUGUGUGUGAUUUCCAGUGUCUCUCACUUUCAUUGUUGUAUUUUCAUCGGUCCAGACGGACGAAUCAUUUUCCUCUCCUCCUACUCCUCGUAAUCUUGCCAUCAUCAUCGUCAUCCCUUGCUUUUUUUUUUUUCAAGAGAGUUUUAGUGAGUGCCAGUAGAGUUGUUGACCAAAGGCUGUGCAGCACAAAACACAUCAAUUAAUGCACCAUUACAAGGUGUGUGUGUGUGUGUGUGUGUGUGUGUGUGUGUGUGUGUGUAUGUGUGUGUAAGGCCCAAAUCUAAUUAUUCUCUGGCUUUCCUCAUAGCAGGGACAGUCCGCUGGAGAGACUGCUGGUGGCUGAAGGUUUUCACUGCUGCAAUCUCUCUCUCUUUCUCUCUCUCUCCUUCUUGUUCUCUGACUUUCUCUCUUUUUAUCUCUCUCCCUCUUUUUCUUUACAUCUCUCUUUUUAUUUCCAUCCUGUCUGCUCUCUCAUCCUUCCCUGCAUCCUGCCUCACCCCUCCUUUCUCUCUCCAUCUUUCUCUUCCUCCUCCUCCUUCGUCCACCCCCGUCCAUCUCUACCUCCGUAUCCCACUCGCUCCUCUCUAUCACUCUCUCACAGAUGCCACAUCACACCACACGCUCUCCCUCUCUCUAUCUUGCUCUCUCUCUCCCUCUCUCUCCUAUCCCUGUGCUCUCUGCUCUCUCAUUCGCUCCACUGGCUAGUCGCCGGCUGUUAGUUCAUUUGCCGCGGCAGAGCAACAACUGGCUUCUUUCAGAGCUGGGAGCAGAGAGGGGAAGGCGAGAGUGACAGUAAGAGUGGAAGAAGAAAAAGUGGAGGAGGACGAGAAGGAGAAGAAGAGGAGAAAAGGAGGAGGAGGAAGAGAUCUUUUGUUAGGCAUCCAUCCCUCCCCUCAUCCCUCACUGGCAGCAGCAGCAUCAGCACCACUGCCUCCACCACAGCCGCUCCUGCUGCUGGAUCCUCCGUCUCCUGCCGGGAUCUGCCUCCUCCUUCUCCUCAGGGAGCUCCUCCUGAAACGCGGAGGGGGAGGGAGAUCACCACCUCCCAGCUUGCCGUGGACCCUCGGCAAGACAUCAGGAGAAAAGAAGGGAGAAGGAAGGGGAGGGAAUUUUAGAAGAGGCCAUCAGGAGAGCAGAGGAGAGGCAACACCCUGGUUUACAGGAGAGCAAAGAAGAACACGAAAAAAAAGAGGGAGCAGUGGAGAGAGCAAGGAAACCAAAUCUCAUCACAGGAUGAGGACCUCUAGAAGGCCCCAGCCCAGAAAGCACGUGAGUCACUUGGAGAGACACCAAAACCUCACUGCACCUACUUUGAAGAGGAAGUCGACCUCAGAUGAAGGCCCAUACAAGCACGUAAACUGUGGGAAACCAAGCUAGAGUCCUACCUGGCCUGCCCGGAUGAUACAUGGAUGUCCUGAAAUCCUUCCCAGCAGUCUGCAACGUGUCACUGAAGCUCAACACACCUCUACCUGCCUCAGCUGCCUGCGAGAGGCUUUUCAGCACUGCAGGACUGAUUUUCAGACCCAAAAGUACAUGCCUGGAUUCAAAGAACUUUGAGAACCAGAUCGGCUAAAUAAACAAUUUUGGGAUUCCUGUAGAGAUGAGUGAAUAUCUCACAAAAAAAAACCAACUUGAUUAAACUAGUUUCCAUGUUGAUCAUAAUGUUUUAAGUUCUGUUGCUGAAAUGGAAAACUGAUUUGCACAUUGGCGUAAAUUAAGCCUGUCAAAACAAAAGUUUUUCUAUAUAAAGUGUUAAAAGAUACAAAUUCUGUUAAAAGUAAUAUGUUAAGUAUAGUAUUGAGAGUACCAAAGCUGUUAUAAAGCUGAAGUAUCCAGGUGCUCAUGGAGGACCUCUGGUCAAUUCAGUCUUGAUUAUUCUGUCUGAAAUUUAACUUGCAGCAAACAGACCAGUGAUUUAUUUAUUUUUCUCUGUACCAGAGCUGUGCAGGUUGUGAAUAAAGGAAAAAAAUGUUGUGUGCCAAGAACUUUUCGUUUUGUUGAGUUAUCAAAAGAGGUAUUGUGUAUUAUUGACGGCAAAAAUUAUUUUUUACUUUUUACUUUUGUACUUUUCAGAGCCUGUACUUUUUUACUUUUACUUGAGUAAAGGAGCUGAAUCAGUACUUCUACUUUUACUAGAGUCAUUUUUUACACAAGUAUCUAUACUUCUACUUAGUACCAAAUGCGAGUACUUUUGACACCUCUGUCGCCGAAUGAGUGUACUUCGGUGCGCCCUGCAGGCCGCGUCAACUUUUGUUAAAUGGGACAGUCUACCCUUCGCAGCAUUUCCUGGUUGCGUCACCAGAUGUUCCCGCCUCUACUCGGAAGAGGAGAAGCGGUUCUGGUUUAUCUCCGGCUGAGAGGACCGUGGAGAGGUAAACCUGUUAUUGAACCCACAGUAAUGUUAUCAAUAUUAUCAUUAUUAGCUAGCUAACAGUUUGGGGUCAUUAACAUACCGAUACAUUAUGUUAAUGCUGACAUAUAAACUGCUGAUCGCCACUUAGGGUUUUAUUUAAAUUUUAAAGGUAUUAUUCCUAUUUAAAGUGUUUGGUAGAUAGUUUUGUUUGUUGUAAUGAUUUAUUAUUAUUAUAAUUAUAUCAUGAAAUUGCCUCUUUCUUAAAACAUUCUUAAUGACCUGGCAGCCUUGGAUGGAGUCAGAACUGCAGACCCAGUUGAUGGAGGAUGUGGUGGACAGAGGAGACUGGACCCCCAAACACCCUGAGUACCGACCCAGAUGAUGUCCCACUGACACCAUCCAGCCCAGCAGCACUGCAGGGACUCCUGCUCAGCCUGUUACUGUACAUCAUCUGUAACUGUUUUAAAAUUGCUUUUAAUAAUUGUUUUUGUUAAUAGUUAAUAAUAAUCUGUAAAUAGUUAUUUAUGCUGUAAUUUUGUAAAUAGUUGUAAAUGUUAAGACCUUAAUAAUAAAAAAAAACAUCAAUCCCUUGUUGUCCCUGAAAAGUAGCACUUGAUGCUGUUUACUGUCAUAAAUAAUACUUAAGUUGUAAAUACUGAAUGGAAUAGACAACGUGUAACAAUAGAACAAUAUUUUAUUUCAUGAAUUAUUUAAAAUGAACAACUAAUUUAAAAAGAACUCAUAAAUAACUCAGUAACUAACAACAGAAUUAAUGUAAGGAAGAGAAGAGCCUCUCCAUCCUCUCUGCAGCCUCAUGUCCUCCUUCAUCCUCCUCCUCUUCCUCAUCUCUGUUUACUCCCUAAAACACAAUGAAAUGUAAAAGACGUUUUGUGUUAUGUCAACAGACAAAAGGGUUCUAAUACAGAAUAUAUAUAUAUGUAUAUAUAUAUAUAUAUAUAUAUAUAUAUAUAUACAUAUAUAUAUAUAUAUAUAUAUAUAAAAUCAUAAGGAUAAUCAUAAACUUAGCUCUUUAUUCAAACGUUUAACUAGACUUUACAGUGUUACAGUCUGGAAAUAAAGCAGGGAUCACAGCCUGAUCUGAAUCUGUUCAUCUUGGUCCAUUUAUGUAAAACGAGUCUCUAACAGCUCCACAGUCACAAUACGAUAUAAGAUAUAAGUCAACCUCUGAACGUCUUACGUUUGAAAGUGAAGCUUUUAAGGCUUUACUUCCAAAGGCAUCAAGCUGAGGAUUACCAACGUAUUUUACCUUGAAGUUUAACAUAUCUGGCGUUGGAUGUUUAAAGGAGUAAAGUAUAGACCCAAUACUUACAUUUAAAUACGAGAUCUGCGCCACUUGAGGUUAUUUAUUUAUUUCUUCUCUUCGGGUUCGCAAUGAAUCAUGGGAUAUGUGAGACCACAAAGUGUAGUAGCGGUGCACACUCCAAAAACAGGUAAAAGGAGUGCGCAUUUGUGGGGUGCAUUAUGAGAACACUUUGAAUUGGGAC